GAUUUCAACUAAAAAAGUCGUCAAGAACAAAGUUGUAUAUAACUCAUCGAGAUAUAUAACUUUUAUUUUGGUCAUUUCUUCAUCUGACAAAGUGAUAGUAACAUUAUUCAUAAAAUUUACACAUCUCUUAUAUAGUUUUAUAAAAUAAAAGAAAGAUAUGUAAUUUUUGGGAAAAUAUUACUAUCACUUUGUUGGAUGAAGAAAUGACCAAAACAAAAGUUAUAGAUCAUGAUGAGUUAUACAACUUUGCUGUUGAUGACCUUUUCAGCUGAAGUU
rnacentral:pre_miRNA from 1 species